rnacentral:rRNA from 1 species
UGCGGUUAUACAAAAAUUAAAUUAAAUUUUUUUAGGAUUUAAUAAAUAAAUGUAAAUUAAUAAUUUAAAUUUUAAAUUAUAAAGUGAAAUUUUAAUUUAAUUAAAAUUUAUUUAUUUUUAUGAUAUUAAUAGAUUUUAUAAAAAACUAGGAUUAGAUACCCUACUAUAAAAAUUUAAAUUUAAUAAUCUUGAAAUAGUAUAUAAUUUUUUAUAGAAACUUAAAUAAUUUGGCGGUAUUUUAGUUCAUUUAGAGGAAUCUGUCUAAUAAUUGAUAAUCCACGAUUAAAUUUACUUAAUUUUUAAUUUUGUAUAUCGUUGUUAAAAAAAUAUUUUUAAAUAAAUAUAAUAUUUUAAAAUUUAUAUAAAAAAUUAAAUCAGAUCAAGAUGCAGAUUAUAAUUAAGAAUAUGAUGGAUUACAAUAAAUUUUAUUUUUGAAUAUUAAUUUGUAAAAAUUAAUUGAAAUUGGAUUUAAAUGUAAUUUUAUUUAUUUAAUUAAAAUGAUUUUAAAUUAAAAUAUGUACAUAUUGCCCGUCGCUUUCAUUAAUAAAUUGAAAUAAGUCGUAACAAAGUAGAGGUACUGGAAAGUGUUUCUAGAAAGAU